UACGGAGGGGGCUAGCGUUGUUCGGAAUUACUGGGCGUAAAGCGCGCGUAGGCGGACCUACAAGUCGGGGGUGAAAGCCCGAGGCUCAACCUCGGAACUGCCUUCGAUACUGCGGGUCUCGAGUCCGGGAGAGGUGAGUGGAAUUCCUAGUGUAGAGGUGAAAUUCGUAGAUAUUAGGAAGAACACCAGUGGCGAAGGCGGCUCAGCUGGCCCGGUACUGACGCUGAGGCGACGAAAGCGUGGGGAGCAAACAGG
rnacentral:rRNA from 1 species